rnacentral:rRNA from 1 species
AAACGUAGGAGGCGAACGUUAUCCGGAUUUACUGGGCGUAAAGCGCGCGCAGGCGGCUUCGUAAGUCCGACGUGAAAGCUCCCGGCUCAACUGGGAGAGGUCGUCGGAUACUGCGGAGCUUGAGGGUAGGAGAGGGAAGUGGAAUUCCCGGUGUAGCGGUGGAAUGCGUAGAUAUCGGGAGGAACUCCAGUGGCGAAGGCGACUUCCUGGCCUACACCCGACGCUGAGGCGCGAAAGCGUGGGGAGCAAACAGGAUUAGAAACCCUAGUAGUCC